GCCUACGAUCUCUAGCUGGUCUGAGAGGAUGAUCAGCCACACUGGAACUGAGACACGGUCCAGACUCCUACGGGAGGCAGCAGUGGGGAAUAUUGGACAAUGGGCGAAAGCCUGAUCCAGCCAUGCCGCGUGAACGAUGAAGGCCUUAGGGUUGUAAAGUUCUUUUGUCAGGGAAGAUAAUGACGGUACCUAAAGAAUAAGCACCGGCUAACUUCCUGCCAGCAGCCGCGGUAAUACGAAGGGUGCUAGCGUUGUUCGGAAUCACUGGGCGUAAAGCGCGCGUAGGCGGCGAUACAAGUCAGAGGUGAAAGCCUGGAGCUCAACUCCAGAACUGCCUUUGAAACUGUAUUGCUAGAGUGUCGGAGGGGAUAGCGGAAUUGCUAAUGUAGAGGUGAAAUUCGUAGAUAUUAGCAGGAACACCGGUGGCGAAGGCGGCUAUCUGGACGACAACUGACGCUGAGGCGCGAAAGCGUGGGGAUCAAACAGGAUUAGAUACCCUGGUAGUCCACGCUGUAAACGAUGGGUGCUAGCCGUUGGGGGGAUACCUCUCAGUGGCGCAGCUAACGCGUUAAGCACCCCGCCUGGGGAGUACGGUCGCAAGAUUAAAACUCAAAGAAAUUGACGGGGACCCGCACAAGCGGUGGAACAUGUGGUUUAAUUCGAGGCAACGCGAAGAACCUUACCAAGACUUGACAUGCCCUCUAUGGAGAACAGAAAUGAUCUCCUUCACCUCGGGUGGGAGGAGCACAGGUGCUGCAUGGCUGUCGUCAGCUCGUGUCGUGAGAUGUUGGGUUAAGUCCCGCAACGAGCGCAACCCUCAUCCUCUGUUGCUAACAGGUAAUGCUGAGAACUCUGAGGAAACUGCCGGUGAUAAGCCGGAGGAAGGUGGGGAUGACGUCAAGUCCUCAUGGCCCUUACGUCUUGGGCUACACACGUGUUACAAUGGCGGUGACAAUGGGCUGCAAACCCGCAAGGGUAAGCGAAUCUCAAAAAGCCGCCUCAGUUUGGAUUGUACUCUGCAACUCGAGUACAUGAAAUUGGAAUCGCUAGUAAUCGCGGAUCAGCACGCCGCGGUGAAUACGUUCCCGGGUCU
rnacentral:rRNA from 1 species